CCUCACCAAAUAUAUAUAUAUAUAUAUAUAUAUAUAUAUAUAUAUAUAUAUGUAUAUAUACGUAUAUAUGGCGGCACU